rnacentral:rRNA from 1 species
CAGUAGCCGCGGUAAUACGAAGGGGGCUAGCGUUGUUCGGAUUAACUGGGCGUAAAGGGCGCGUAGGCGGGUUUUUAAGUCAGAGGUGAAAUCCCAAGGCUCAACCUUGGAACUGCCUUUGAUACUGGAAGUCUUGAGUCCGGGAGAGGUGAGUGGAACUGCGGGUGUAGAGGUGAAAUUCGUAGAUAUUCGCAAGAACACCAGUGGCGAAGGCGGCUCACUGGCCCGGUACUGACGCUGAGGCGCGAAAGCGUGGGGAGCGAACAGGAUUAGAUACCCGUGUAGUCCCUGUCUCUUAUAC